UACGUAGGGUGCGAGCGUUAAUCGGAAUUACUGGGCGUAAAGCGUGCGCAGGCGGUUUUGUAAGCCAGAUGUGAAAUCCCCAGGCUUAACCUGGGAAGUGCGCGGAAAACUGGCGAGCUUGAGUGCCGGAGAGGGUCGCGGAAUUCCCGGUGUAGAGGUGAAAUUCGUAGAUAUCGGGAGGAACACCAGUGGCGAAGGCGGCGACCUGGACGGACACUGACGCUGAGACGCGAAAGCGUGGGGAGCAAACAGG
rnacentral:rRNA from 1 species